rnacentral:tRNA from 1 species
GCAGAUGUGGCCGAGUGGUUAAGGCGACUGACUCGAAAUCAGUUUCCAUCUUGGAGCGUAGGUUCGAAUGC